GACGAACGCUGGCGGCGUGCUUAACACAUGCAAGUCGAACGGUGGGGCGCCAUCCUUUUUGGUGGGUGUGGAGGAGUGGCGAACGGGGGAGUAACACGAUAGUAACCUUCCCCCUUCUUGUGGAUAACCGCAUGAAAGUGUUGCUAAUACGGGAUAUUCUGGGCCUGUCGCAUGAUGGGUGUGGGAAGGUUAUUCUUUCGGUGGGGGAUGGCCUCGCGUCCUAUCAGCUUGUUGGUGGGGUGAUGGCCUACCAAGGCGGUGAAGGGUAGCCGGCCUGAGAGGGUGGGCGGUCACAGUGGUACUGGGCGACGGCGAAGACUCCUACGGGAAGCAGCAGUGGGGAAUAUCGGACAGUGGGAGGAAGCCUGAUGCAGCGACGCCGCGGGAGGGAUGGUGUACUUCGGGUUGAGAACCUCUUUCGCCAGUGAAGCAGGCCUGCAGCGUCUGUGCGUGGCUUGACGGUACCUGGUUAAGAAGCGCCGGCUAACUACGUG
rnacentral:rRNA from 1 species